rnacentral:tRNA from 1 species
GCGGGCAUAGUUUAGUGGUAAAAUUUUAGGCUUCCAACCUAAAGAUGGGGGUUCGAUUCCCCCUGCCCGCU